rnacentral:misc_RNA from 1 species
CUUCCAGCCAAUUAUGUAAAUUCUAGAGAUGCAAGUGUAUACUUCUCAUAUACCAAUUGUACAAGCACAUACAAAAUGUAUACAAUUCAGCCUUCCAACAAACAUCCAAUGUAUACUUCUCAUAUUAGAGUGGUUUGCUGCAGGUGUUUUCAUGCUAACUUGUUUUAUAAUCAGGAGGAUAGAACUAUAAACCAACAAUAUACCAAAUCUGUAGGUCAAAUGACUCCCACCACUCAGAAGCAACGGUAUGAAUUAUUGUGCAAGGUAAUUUAUUUGAGCCGUCAACGCAUUAGCAAGGCAAAAAACAAUAACCAAGCUCUAGUUAUAAUAGACAUGAGGAUUGGGGGGUAUUUCA